rnacentral:rRNA from 1 species
UACGUAGGGCGCAAGCGUUGUCCGGAAUUAUUGGGCGUAAAGAGCUCGUAGGCGGCUUGUCACGUCGGCUGUGAAAACCCGGGGCUCAACCCCGGGCCUGCAGUCGAUACGGGCAGGCUAGAGUUCGGUAGGGGAGACUGGAAUUCCCGGUGUAGCGGUGAAAUGCGCAGAUAUCGGGAGGAACACCGGUGGCGAAGGCGGGUCUCUGGGCCGAAACUGACGCUGAGGAGCGAAAGCGUGGGGAGCAAACAGG